rnacentral:rRNA from 1 species
GACAGAGGGUGCAACCGUUGCUCGGAAUCACUGGGCAUAAAGCGCACGUAGGCCGUCUACUAAGUCCAAUGUGAAAUCCCCCGGCUCAACCGGGGAACUGCAUCGGAUACUGGUGGACUCGAGAGUUGUAGGGGUGGACGGAACUCCAGGUGGAGCGGUGAAAUGCGUAGAUAUCUGGAGGAACACCGGAGGCGAAAGCGGUCCACUGGGCAACUUCUGACGCUGAGGUGCGAAAGCUAGGGUAGCAAACGGG